rnacentral:rRNA from 1 species
CCUACGGGAGGCAGCAGUGAGGAAUAUUGGUCAAUGGGCGCGAGCCUGAACCAGCCAAGUAGCGUGAAGGAUGACUGCCCUACGGGUUGUAAACUUCUUUUAUAAAGGAAUAAAGUGAUGCAAGUGUGCCUUUUUGUAUGUACUUUAUGCAUAAGAAACGGCUAACUCCGUGCCAGCAUCCGCGGUAAUAAGGAGGAGGCGAGCGAUAGCCGGGUUUUGUGGGUUUAAAGGGAGCGGAGAUGGGUUGUUAAAGCAGUUGUGAAAGUGUGCGGCUUAACCUUAAGAUUGCAAUUGAUACUGGUAGACUUGAGUGCAGUUGAGGUAGGUGGAAUGCGAGGUGUAGCGGGGAAAUGCUUAGAGAUAACGAAGAACUCCGAUUGCGAAGGCAGCUUACUAAACUGCCACUGACAUUGAGGCUCGAAAGUGUGGGUAUCAAACAGGAUUAGAUACCCGUGUAGUC